rnacentral:tRNA from 1 species
CGGGGCGUGGUGUAAUGGUAGCACGAGUGCUUUGGGAGCACUUAGUCCCAGUUCGAAUCUGAGCGCCCCGACCA